UAUUUCAUGGAAAAUGUCUAAAUUUUGUCUCUUACGGUUCCACACAGCACUUUAGUACAAAAUGCUCAGGGAAAAAAAAAAAACUGUGCUUAUUCUUAUUCUUCAUCUGGGUCUCAUGAAUACAACGUAGAUAAGGUAGGAUGUGAUUUAAGAAGAGGACAUCAGGAAAAACAAGAUUCAGCUGUGUCUGUGUGCUGUGUUGAUGUAAUUAUAACUCCAUGCUGAAUUCUGAGUUUUUUCUAGCAAAUCACUGAACAUAUGGAUGGUCUUGGAGACCCCUCCAAAAGAGUCACUUAAUUACAUAAAAUACCAAUUAGUAUGAAAUAAAACAGUAGAAGUUGCCUUUUUCAAUCCCUCAA